AGAGGACACAGCUCCAUCAUUGUGGGGAGAAGACAAGAAAGCUCAAGCAAGCCUGCAGCUGAAGUUGUCUGCUCCAUUUCAAUUUGAAAGAUUUGAAGUGGAAGAUGAAAUGGGUGGGCUACAAUACCAGAGUUACUCCUGAAGGCAUGAGCUGACUUCAGCAGAUACUUAUGCUAUUUAGAACUGCUCAGUUUUUUUUUAUCCCUGGUGGUGUACACUUAGGAAAAUUUAAACUGUUUGCAGUGUUUUGACAUAUCUUCAAAAUCUCCAACAGGAGCUACAUCUAACACUUGGUUAUAAUUAUAACCCAAUCUGAUCUAUCCAUAGGAUCUCUGUUCUUUGCCACCAAUGGCAAUAAUUCUGUCUCCACCACCAGUUUAGUAUCAUAAACUUCCAGCUUGUCUUUCCCUCUCAAAGUCUGUUCAAUUCAUUUUCAUGCACAUGAAAGCAGCAGGUUGCUGCUCCAAAGACACUGUGGCAUUUCUUUCUGCCCUACUUCAGGAAUUCAAUAAAUAAGGGAGACUCUUGAGUCCAUCACAGUCUCACUCCUUUGGCAAUUAUUGGUUUUGAAACUGCAGAUAACUUCAACAGUCACCAGUUUUUAAUUCAAACCAUUUUCUUUCAUUACUUUUUUUUUUUUUUUUUUUUUUUUCUCCAGUUUUUGCUGCUCUAAACCAUCUCAAUCUUGCUAUAAACACAUCUUUAAAAAUGCAUCAUGUUAGUUACUGUUGAGAAGGAAAAAUUCUUAGGGUUGGUACCAAAACCUAAUUUCUUCUCCGUUGACUAAGCUUUACUUAUCACCAGCUUGAAUUAUCUGCAGGUGUUGGGAGGCAGCCAAAUCUGCCCUGCCCAAAAAUCUGCCCUGCCCCAGAUCCUCAGCACCACCUAAAAGUGCUGCUGCAGGAGAAAGGUCUCCUUCUAAAAUCCAAUGCGUGAAUGGAGUGGUCUAAACUGUCUUUAAAGGUCUUGGGUGCUCGAGGAGCACAGCGGUGUGCAGUGAUGGGCAAAGCAGCAAACCUAAAAUGGUGUUGUACUUUAGGAGAAAUGACUGCAUACAGAGUGCUAGGUUGGUUGGUUGACCCAUUUAACCCAGCCAGUAAUAUUCUGGAUAGUCCCUUUUUGCCUCUAGGGAGCCCUCUUCUUGCCUUCUCCAGCCAAAAAGGACUUGUGGAGAACUUCUGUGAGAUGUUCACCUGGAAGAAAAAGCAGGAAGAAAUCCACAGGAAUAAAAGUGAGGACAGUCAGGAGUAUCCAGGACAGAGGAAGUUGCUGACUGCUUCUUCAGGCAUUUUCAGAAAUAGGUCCUAUUUUUUCUCACCACUUCUGUACUACUGA
rnacentral:lncRNA from 1 species